rnacentral:tRNA from 1 species
AAUAAAAUGGCUGAGGUUUAAGCGAUAAAUUGUAAAUUUAUUUACGAGAUUUAAUCUCUUUUAUUA